AGUGAACGCUGGCGGUAGGCCUAACACAUGCAAGUCGAACGGCAGCACAGUAAGAGCUUGCUCUUACGGGUGGCGAGUGGCGGACGGGUGAGGAAUACAUCGGAAUCUACUUUGUCGUGGGGGAUAACGUAGGGAAACUUACGCUAAUACCGCAUACGACCUACGGGUGAAAGCAGGGGAUCUUCGGACCUUGCGCGAUUGAAUGAGCCGAUGUCGGAUUAGCUAGUUGGCGGGGUAAAGGCCCACCAAGGCGACGAUCCGUAGCUGGUCUGAGAGGAUGAUCAGCCACACUGGAACUGAGACACGGUCCAGACUCCUACGGGAGCCAGCAGUGGGGAAUAUUGGACAAUGGGCGCAAGCCUGAUCCAGCCAUACCGCGUGGGUGAAGAAGGCCUUCGGGUUGUAAAGCCCUUUUGUUGGGAAAGAAAAGCAGCAGGCUAAUACCCCGCUGUUCUGACGGUACCCAAAGAAUAAGCACCGGCUAACUUCGUG
rnacentral:rRNA from 1 species